rnacentral:rRNA from 1 species
UGGCAAGCGUUGUCCGGAUUUAUUGGGCGUAAAGCGAGCGCAGGCGGUUGGGUAAGUCUGAAGUUAAAGGCUGUGGCUUAAACAUAGUAUGCUUUGGAAACUGUUCAACUUGAGUGCAGAAGGGGAGAGUGGAAUUCCAUGUGUAGCGGUGGAAUGCGUAGAUAUAUGGAGGAACACCGGUGGCGAAAGCGGCUCUCUGGUCUGUAACUGACGCUGAGGCUCGAAAGCGUGGGUAGCGAACA